UGGGGAAUUUUGGACAAUGGGGGAAACCCUGAUCCAGCCAUCCCGCGUGUGCGAUGAAGGCCUUCGGGUUGUAAAGCACUUUUGGCAGGAAAGAAACGUCAUGGGUUAAUACCCCGUGAAACUGACGGUACCUGCAGAAUAAGCACCGGCUAACUACGUGCCAGCAGCCGCGGUAAUACGUAGGGUGCAAGCGUUAAUCGGAAUUACUGGGCGUAAAGCGUGCGCAGGCGGUUCGGAAAGAAAGAUGUGAAAUCCCAGAGCGCAACUUUGGAACUGCACUUUUAACUACCGGGCUAGAGUGUGUCAGAGGGAGGUGGAAUUCCGCGUGUAGCAGUGAAAUGCGUAGAUAUGAGGAGGAACCCCGAUGGCGAAGGCAGCCUCCUGGGAUAACACUGACGAUCAUGCACGAAAGCGUGGGGCGCAAACAGG
rnacentral:rRNA from 1 species